GACGAACGCUGGCGGCGUGCUUAACACAUGCAAGUCGAGCGGAAAGGCCACUUCGGUGGUACUCGAGCGGCGAACGGGUGAGUAACACGUGAGUAAUCUGCCCCUGGCUUUGGGAUAGCCACCGGAAACGGUGAUUAAUACCGGAUACGACCACUUCUCGCAUGGGAUGGUGGUGGAAAGUUUCUUCGGCCAGGGAUGUGCUCGCGGCCUAUCAGCUUGAUGGUGAGGUAAUGGCUCACCAUGGCUUCGACGGGUAGCCGGCCUGAGAGGGUGACCGGUCACACUGGGACUGAGACACGGCCCAGACUCCUACGGGAGGCAGCAGUGGGGAAUAUUGGACAAUGGGCGGAAGCCUGAUCCAGCAACGCCGCAUGAGGGAUGACGGCCUUCGGGUUGUAAACCUCUUUCAGCAGGGACGAAGCGCAAGUGACGGUACCUGCAGAAGAAGCACCGGCCAACUACGUGCCAGCAGCCGCCGUAA
rnacentral:rRNA from 1 species